UCUCCUGGAAACGGGUGGUAAUGCCGGAUGUUCCACAUGAGCGCAUGCGAGUGUGGGAAAGGCUUUUUGCGGCAUGGGAUGGGGUCGCGUCCUAUCAGCUUGUUGGUGGGGUAACGGCCUACCAAGGCGUUGACGGGUAGCCGGCCUGAGAGGGCGACCGGCCACAUUGGGACUGAGAUACGGCCCAGACUCCUACGGGAGGCAGCAGUGGGGAAUAUUGCACAAUGGGCGCAAGCCUGAUGCAGCGACGCCGCGUGCGGGAUGGAGGCCUUCGGGUUGUAAACCGCUUUUGUUCAAGGGCAAGGCACGGUCUUUGGCCGUGUUGAGUGGAUUGUUCGAAUAAGCACCGGCUAACUACGUGCCAGCAGCCGCGGUAAUACGUAGGGUGCAAGCGUUAUCCGGAUUUAUUGGGCGUAAAGGGCUCGUAGGCGGUUCGUCGCGUCCGGUGUGAAAGUCCAUCGCUUAACGGUGGAUCCGCGCCGGGUACGGGCGGGCUUGAGUGCGGUAGGGGAGACUGGAAUUCCCGGUGUAACGGUGGAAUGUGUAGAUAUC
rnacentral:rRNA from 1 species